GUCUUUUAGAUAAUAAUUUAAAGUCUGGCCUGCCCACUGAAUAUAAUUUAAAGGGCCGCGGUAUUUUGACUGUGCAAAGGUAGCAUAAUCACUAGUCUUUUAAUUGAAGGCUUGUAUGAAUGGUUGGAUGAAAUAUUAACUGUCUCAAAUUAAUAAGAUAGAAUUUAAUUUUUAAGUUAAAAAGCUUAAAUAUAAUUAGAGGACGAGAAGACCCUAUAGAUUUUUAUAAUUUUUUAUUUAUAAAUAAUUUGGUUGAGAGAAAUUUUUAAAUGAAGAAUUAUUUUAUUGGGGUGAUAAAUAAAUUUAAAAAACUUUAUAGAAUAUAAACAUUAAUGUAUGAAUUAUUGAUCCAUUUUUAGUGAUUAUAAGAUUAAAUUACCUUAGGGAUAACAGCGUAAUUUUUUUAGAGAGUUCAUAUCGAUAAAAAAGUUUGCGACCUCGAUGUUGAAUUAAAGAUUAAUUUAGGUGUAGAAGUUUAAAUUUUUGGUCUGUUCGACCAUUGAAUC
rnacentral:rRNA from 1 species